CCUACGGGGGGCUGCAGUGGGGAAUAUUGCGCAAUGGGGGAAACCCUGACGCAGCGACGCCGCGUGAGCGAAGAAGGCCUUAGGGUUGUAAAGCUCUGUUUUAGGGGACGAAUGUUCAUAGGAGUAAUAUGCCUGUGAAAUGACGGUACCCUAAGAGGAAGCCCCGGCUAACUACGUGCCAGCAGCCGCGGUAAGACGUAGGGGGCGAGCGUUGUCCGGAAUUACUGGGCGUAAAGAGCACGUAGGCGGGAACCUAAGUCAGGUGUGAAAGACCGUGGCUCAACCACGGGGUGGCAUUUGAAACUGGGUUUCUUGAGGGCAGGAGAGGAAAGCAGAAUUCCUGGUGUAGCGGUGAAAUGCGUAGAAAUCAGGAGGAAUACCAGUGGCGAAGGCGGCUUUCUGGACUGACCCUGACGCUGAGGUGCGAAAGCGUGGGUAGCAAACAGGCUUAGAUACCCCAGUAGUC
rnacentral:rRNA from 1 species